ACGUUAGCGGCAGGCCUAAUACAUGCAAGCUGAACGGUAAGAUUGGUAGCAAUACUGAUCCUAGAGUAGCGUAAGGGUGCGUAACACGUAUGCAAUCUGCCCGCAACAGGAGGAUAGCUUAGCGAAAGUUGAGAUAAGACUCCAUAAGAUCACGAGAGGGCAUCUGAAUGUGAUUAAACUACAAGGGGUUGCGGAUGAGCAUGCGUCUGAUUAGUUAGUUGGUGCGGGUAACGGCCCACCAAGACGAUGAUCAGUAGGGGAACUGAGAGGUUGGUCCCCCACACUGGCACUGAGAUACGGGCCAGACUCCUACGGGAGGCAGCAGUAGGGAAUAUUGGACAAUGGGUGCAAGCCUGAUCCAGCCAUGCCGCGUGCAGGAAGAAAGCCUUCUGGGUUGUAAACUGCUUUUUUCUGGGGAUAAAAGACCGGUGCGCCGGGCAUUGAAAGUACCAGGAGAAUAAGCCACGGCUAACUACGUGCCAGCAGCCGCGGUAAUACGUAGGUGGCAAGCGUUGUCCGGAUUUAUUGGGUUUAAAGGGUGCGUAGGCGGUUCAUUAAGUCAGUGGUGAAAUACGGCAGCUUAACUGUCGAGGUGCCAUUGAUACUGGUGGACUUGAGUACUGAUGAGGUAGGCGGAAUGGACGGUGUAGCGGUGAAAUGCUUAGAGAUCG
rnacentral:rRNA from 1 species